UACGUAGGGGGCAAGCGUUGUUCGGAAUGACUGGGCGUAAAGGGUGCGUAGGCGGUGUAGCAAGUUAGAAGUGAAAUACCUAGAGCUUAACUCAGGUGCUGCUUCUAAAACUGCUAUACUUGAGUGCAGCAGAGGAAAGUGGAAUUCCUAGUGUAGCGGUGGAAUGCGUAGAUAUUAGGAGGAACAUCAGUGGCGAAAGCGGCUCUCUGGUCUGUAACUGACGCUGAGGUUCGAAAGCGUGGGUAGCAAACAGG
rnacentral:rRNA from 1 species